rnacentral:rRNA from 1 species
GGGGACGACGUCAAGUCAUCAUGGCCCUUACGAGUAGGGCUACACACGUGCUACAAUGGCGCAUACAGAGGGCGGCCAACUUGCGAAAGUGAGCGAAUCCCAAAAAGUGCGUCGUAGUCCGGAUUGGAGUCUGCAACUCGACUCCAUGAAGUCGGAAUCGCUAGUAAUCGUGGAUCAGAAUGCCACGGUGAAUACGUUCCCGGGCCUUGUACACACCGCCCGUCACACCAUGGGAGUGGGCUGCAAAAGAAGUAGGUAGUUUAACCUUCGGGGGGACGCUUACCACUUUGUGGUUCAUGACUGGGGUGAAGUCGUAACAAGGUAGCGCUAGGGGAACCUGGCGCUGGAUCACCUCCUUAAACGAUGAU